GUUUGCUUCGUCGAGAAGGGAGAGAGAGACAGUCGAAACAGAAGCCGCCUCGAGCCCCUCACCCCUUUCUCCUUUCCUCUCCCAUGACACGCAACCUUUCCUUCCUCUUCUUCCCCCGAUCUGCUCGUUCCAAUUCUUGGCCAUCGGAAGGAGGCAGCCAGGGGAUGGGAAGGCCGAGCGGAAGAGAAGGAUGAGGGGACGCGGCUGUGAGUACGCCACCGACCAUGCCGAUCGGGUGGGAAGAGAAGUCGGCGGCGGCGGCGGUUUCGAUCUGUGAUCUACCACCAGCGCCGCCGGAGGGACGGAAGAAAGCAUCUGAGGGGCGGCGCGGGCCUGGGCUCGGGCAGCCAUCAUGGCGUCAGAUGCGCCGGCGGGGGCCUCUUCCUCGUAGCAAGGCGUGGCCCUGCUCUUCCCCAUGGCGCUGAUGACAAGGCGGGCGGCGACGCCAGCUCUCGUCCCGAGGAAGCCGCGGGAGGACGAGUACAAGCCAGACCAGGUCGACGUGCCCCCCUGCCACAACUCCUUCUCCUGCGGGUUGGUUGCUGCUGUUGCUGGUGCCGUUCGUGUCCGAUUCGAUUGGCCUGCCGUUUGCGGGAGACUGCAAGAUUUGUUGGAACCAAUUUUGAGAAGACUGAAUCUACCACGUAUCCAAAUGGAGCGGCUGCAAUCGUUAUAUACCCAGAAUGAUGCUUUUAUAUGUCUGCAUUUUCACAAGUAUUGCUAAACUUGGCCCUAGCGAAGUGGCAAGUGUACUGCUGUAGUUAGCCUACUACUUCAGUUAUAUGAACCUACAAAUGGCAAGUGAGCUCUUUUUAUCUUUUGCUAUUACGUUCAUCCCUUCUUCCAGGACUUCCUGAUUUAGAGAAGAAUAGAUAUAGUGAAGUGCACUCUAUGGUGUGUUUUCUUUUGUUUCCGAUUAUGCUGCUGCUUGAUCUAUAACUAAAGGGUACAUAGUCCAACUCUGUAUUCUGAGAAAUGCAUUUUUUACUCCGCUUCGUAGUAAUAUGUUUUUCACCAACAUAUAUUGUGACAGGAAAGAGAUGUUUCAUGAAUUGACAAAUAAAUUUUGGCACCUGCUGUUCUCACCUCUCGAUGCUUUGCAUCUGAUAAGUAUGCCCAUAGGUUUUAAGGCGACACUUUUGUCAUGCAAAGCGGAACUAAAGUAGCAAAAAACAGAAAUUGUGAUUUCUGUAAUGCACAUCUGCUAAAAAAAACUUAUGAGUUAAGAAAAGAAAAUAUGUUGUCGAAAAAAUUUAGGGCAGCUUACAUAAGAAUCAAAUCCUAUAUUGAUUAUAGGUCUUUUUACUAUGAUGUUUUUCCUUGCAUUGUUCUUUUUUUGGCUGGAUUUUUACCUUUCACUGUUACAUCAUAUCUUUGUUCGCCUUGAGGUACAUAUUUCUCUUAUCAACAAUUCUAGCACAACAUUCGAAAGAAAUACUUAAAUUCCUUUUGAUUAUAAGACAUGCAGAGAUAAAAAAUAGUUAGAAUUUGAGAAUCAACUAGGAGUGAGGUUAAAGUACUGAUCCCUCUUUAUCCCUGUAACUUCAUCUACCAAAUUUCCUUUUGUUUUAAUGGCAGACUAGUUAGUUGAUUCCUACGGAUUUCUUCUCUAAUAAGGACAUGGUGACGUAUACCAGAGUCCCAAUAUAUUUAUCAUUCUUUGAAGCUUUGCAAGGGGGAAGGCUAAGACAUGGAUCAAAUUUUCGGAAACAAGCCGUGUGGACUCAAAUUAAGUGCGGAUGAAACCCUCUGAGGCUCUGACCAUAAAGAGAAUAAAGAAAGGUGUUCUAAGAUUUGUGGCAUAAGACAAUAACAGAUACUGAAAUCUUGGCAACAUAGGUAGGACAGAUGGGAAGCAGCAUUUCAGAGCGUAACGACAUGGUCCUGACUGCGGUAGGAUAGAUGGGAAGCAGCAUUUUCCAUCCUCCCGCGCCAGACCAACUUCGUCAUUCUCUGGUGAGAUGACGCCUCCUUAGUCUGCUUCAUGGCUCCAUGGACGUGGUCCUGACUGCGGUGGAUUUUAGUCUUGUUUCCUUCUUUGCAACGACCAUGCUGCUACCCCUCUUGUUUCCUGUUCUCUUCAUUACUUCCUUCCUGCCGUACCACUGGUGAGAUGUUGUCUCCUCAUGCUUUUAUCCGUUCAUAUGAGUGAUUCAAUGUUGUUGUUGGACUGGUUUAUUGUGUGGAUGGGGUGGCGCUCGUCAGGUGUUUGUGCUUAUGCUCCACCCAUGACCUGCUUUAAAAAUUGUCUUGUCAGGAUUUGUAUUCAUUGCACACCCUGCUGCAGAUCCGAGCAGGCACCUUGCAUCCUUCCUUUUGCACUGUGAAUCUUAUUACUUAACCAGAUCUGCGUAUAUCUCGUGUGUUAACCAGAUCUGGAUAUAUCUCGUGUGAUGAUCUGCGUCAUGGAUGGCUGAUCAGUAUUCAGUGAUGUCUGCUAUGUUGUGCGCUAAACGUUUCACCUUUUUUAUGGUGUUUUUCCUCGAGGAAACUAUUGCUCUGAGAACUAAAGUGAUGAGGCACUUUUAAGCCCUCAAAAUUUAGUUGUAUGCUAUUAUCGUUGCACUUUAUGUUGUUUUUCCAACUUCAGUUAACUUGCAGGAUCGCGACAGUUAUUGGAAGAUGAUGAACAAGUACAUAGGAUCAGAUGUAAUGUCAGUUAUUACACUUCUAAUCAUCAUCUUUGAGCCUUUGGGAAAAUGGCAGAGGUUUGUACUGAUGGACUAUGCCCUUAAGUUUCCCUCUAUACCACGCUGGAACGUCUAGACCACAAGAGGAACAUAAAACAUUUUGAUGUUAGAGGUUCUCACAUCCUGAAGACAAUACUUGCCAUAUGGUGUCAACCAAGAACUUUUUUUGCUUUGGCUGUUGAAUAUAUCACAUUUUCUCAAUCUAUCUACCAGGAUGAACUCUUGCAUCUUGAUAGAUAAUCUUGCUAUUCUGAUGUCUGGUCAUGCAAACUUCCUUUUUUCUUUGAGAUUUAAAAAAUAAAUUGUGGAACAGGUGGGUGAAAGAAAACAUGUUGUACCAGCUACAUUUUGCAUGGCAAAAGUUGGCAUAUUGUUAUCUCUGCUGCUGCUA